AAUUGAUGCAAAAUACCUGCGAGUCAGGGGUUUUAUUUUCAUGUGUCGCGACGGUAUACAAGGACGUGAGAAUGAAUCGUUGCAAAAGCCACUUGUAAUAAUACGACGAGACAUAAUAUUAUAAGCGUGAAUUAUGUGGUCGAAGAAUCCAACGAGUAGCACACACGAGGGAUUUGCUGCAGCGGCAGAAAGCGAUGAGGCGAUGAACGACCGACGUCUCUUCCUCUGCGCAAAUGUGAAUAUGAAACGGAAACUCUUCCGCAAAUAUCGAACCGAAGGAGAGAACCUAAUAAUCGUUGAAUGAAUUUCCAACACCUGCACAACUGUACAU
rnacentral:misc_RNA from 1 species